UACGGAGGGUCCAAGCGUUAUCCGGAUUUAUUGGGUUUAAAGGGUCCGCAGGCGGGAUAAUAAGUCAGUGGUGAAAUCCUGUCGCUUAACGAUAGAAUUGCCAUUGAUACUGUUAUUCUUGAGUAUAGAUGAAGUGGGCGGAAUGUGUCAUGUAGCGGUGAAAUGCAUAGAUAUGACACAGAACACCGAUUGCGAAGGCAGCUCACUAAACUAUAACUGACGCUCAUGGACGAAAGCGUGGGGAGCAAACAGG
rnacentral:rRNA from 1 species